rnacentral:rRNA from 1 species
UACGGGGGGGGGCAAGCGUUGUUCGGAAUUACUGGGCGUAAAGGGCUCGUAGGUGGCCAACUAAGUCGGACGUGAAAUCCCUCGGCUUAACCGGGGAACUGCGUCCGAUACUGGUUGGCUUGAGUUUGGGAGAGGGAUGCGGAAUUCCAGGUGUAGCGGUGAAAUGCGUAGAUAUCUGGAGGAACACCGGUGGCGAAGGCGGCAUCCUGGACCAACACUGACGCUGAGGAGCGAAAGCCAGGGGAGCAAACAGG